CUGAUCGUGUGAUAGACUGAUAGUGAUUGAUCCUGCUUGGAACCCGAGUACUGAUAACCAAAGUGUGGAUCGAGCAUAUCGAAUUGGACAGAAAAAGGAUGUGAUUGUAUAUAAAUUAGUGACUUGUGGGACUGUUGAAGAAAAGAUCUACAGAAAACAGAUUUACAAAGACCGAUUGUUUAAAAUUGCAACUGAGCUGCAACUGAGCUGAAGGAGCAGAUUAGGUACUUUAGUCAAAAGGAACUUAGUGAACUUUUCAGUCUCCCACAACAUGGUUUUAAUGUUUCACUUACUCAGAAGUGGCUAAAUAAGGAGCAUGAUCGACAGCAGUACACAGUGGAAACUCGUUACAAUCCCAUAUAGAAUUCUUGGAAACUCUAGAGAUAGCUGGUGUCAGUCACCACAGACAGCACCACCUCUGCCUGAGGUAGAUGCGGAGCAGGAGGAAAACGCUUUAAAAGUGGGCAGGAAGAAAAGCUUGGAACAUAUUCUUGAUUCAGGUUCUGAUGAAAAGAGUAUAGUUUUCAGCCAGUGGGCUUCAUAUUUGGAUCCCUUGGAGACUGCUAUGACGAGAAGAGGAAUUGGGUGUGUAAGGUUUGAUGGAAAGCUGACGGAUUUAUAUAGGGACAGGGCAUUGGCUGAGUUUAGUAAGACCAAGGACAAAAUGGUACUGUUGAUGUCUUUGAAAGCUGGUGGUGACAGUAGAUCUAACUGCAGCAUCUAACGUCUUUCUAAUGGAUCCACCAUGGAAUCCAGUUGUUGAGGAGCAAGCAAUAAUGAGAAUUCUUCGUAAUAGACUGAAGCUAGCUUUUAUGAGAUUUAUUGUAAAGGACACAGUGGAGGAACGACUGCAGCCAAUUCAGGCGAGGAAGCAGCGGAUGAUCUCCCGAGCUCUCACUGAUUAUGAAGUUCAUUCUGCCAGGAUUGAAGAACUCAAGGUGCUUUUUACUUGAAUAUCAUUGUCAUUAGUUCCUUGUUUCCAUCUUCGGUUAUUAUAGGUGGUCCUUUUUUUUGUUUUUGAUGCUCUGAAACUUAUGGCCCCCAAUUUUGUAAAUCUUAGGCAUAACAGUGCUAAUGUCAGUUAUCAUUACGAAUCUAUCAACUUUUUGGAAAACAGUUGACAGUACAUUGUGACAAGAAUGUGAAAUGUUGAAUGAUUCAGUAGUGUGACUGAUCUGUUUU